GAGGCGUUGAAUCAGCAACAUCCGUGGGCAGCACAACUUCCUUGCCUUGAAAGCUUCCUAGUAAUUCAUCAAAGACAACAAAGAAGGUGAAGGGACUGAAGCAAGUGAAGAAGCUGGGGGUGUUUAAUCUGACAAAAAAAGGAAGCACAAGGAAGAUCUUAUUGCCCUCUACAACCAUCCGAAAGGAGGUUGUAACGAGGUGGGAAUCAAUCUCUUUCUCCAAAAAGCCAGAGCCUGAGACUCUGUCCUCUCGUUCUGUCAGUUGCUGCCUGGAGAAAGAGACCAACCCCCAGCUGUUUACAACCACCCUUCAGGAAUGUAGAUGUAGCACUUAGAGCAAUAGUUCAUUGUUGGAUGUUGGACUUGGCAGUGCUGGAUUGACUGCUGGAUUCAUGAUUAGAGGCUUUUUCCAACCUAAAUGAGUCUGUGCUUCUAUGAUUCUACAUAUUCGGAGCUAGAUGGCACAAUUUUGGAUCCUUACAACCAUCUCUCUCAGAACUAGUAACAUGAAGAGGCCAACAGGCCUCUUUUUGAUGCAGAAAAGUCAUUGUAUCUUUUCCAUCAAACUAUAAUAGAAUGCUGAUCUCUUGCCUUCUGCCAUUGAGAAGUAUCAGAUUUAGAAUGUUUCAAAAUAUUAUUUUUCUUUGUGAGAAAGAUAAAUUGGAAAGGAGGUGACCAGUUUAUUUCUUCCACAAUUAUAAAUCUUAAGUCUGUAAAGGUAUGUUGUCCAGUUUUGAGUUCUUGUACUGUGACCAUUUUUUCUGGUAGUGCCAAUAAAGGGCUGUGUGAUUGAUAAAGAGCCGUGAGGGCUAAAGCACAAGACCUAAGAAAUAAGAACAACGGUUUGAAUGGUAUUUUAACACUACAGUGAUCUUGCCUAGUUAAAAAUAUUGCCAGCAGAAUUAUUUAAGGAUGAAAAGAAUCCACUGCUCACACUUUGAUCAAAGGAAUGGAAAGCUGAGUGUAAUCUGUUGAUCCAGAAUAGAGGAAUCAUUCAAUAAUAACCCUUUGUUUGUGGCAAAUAUGGUAAGUUGUUUGAGUUUGCUAAGAAAUAGUUUCUAAAUUCUUUAAACGCUGCAAACUGGAGCAAAUAAUCUUAAGGCCCCCCCCCUUGUACUUGAAGUGUGUUCUUAGCUUGUAUUACCUGUCUGUGUAGCCACUUAGAAAACGUUGUUAGAAUGUUUUCAGUAUGAGAGUGAAAGAAAACAUUUCUCUGUUUCAUAUGUUUGCUAAUCCUUAUGCAAGGGUAGAUGGAAAACAACUUGUAGACUACUACUAUGCCUUUCAACAUUUUCUUAGAAUUUUGUACAUAUUUGUUAUUAUUUCCGUUCUUUCCAUUUUGUAUAUUUACUUCCUAACACUAUAUUUCUUCUUUCCACCUAUCCUUUCUUGAAAGCAAGUUCUCUUUUGCAUAAGAAUGGGAAUGUCUAUAUGGGGAUGACUGUCAGGCUGUUAGGCUGGGAUUUUAUUAUUCAUUCUUUAUUCUGUUCUGCCCACUGCUUUUAAAAACUCUUUGAAUGGUGACUAAGAAAAGGAACAACUUGUCAGUAUCUUUAAGUUAGACAUGUGGAACUCUGCCUUUUUAUUGAAAAAAAACCCCAAACCAAACAAAACCCAAAGAGAUGGGGUGUGUGUACAAAAUGAAAAUGGCUAAAAAUCAUUCCUAAGUUCAAAUUCACAAGAUUAUUUUAAUAGGAAAAAAAUCAGUCUCUUUUUUCUUGAAUUUUGUAAUGUCUUGGAAAUAAUUACACAGCCUUAGGCUGCCUGUGUUGAAUUGAGACUGAAGUGAAAACCAUGUAUUCUUUUUCCAUCUUCUGAAAAAUGAUAAUUUUACCAUUGUUAGAAUCAAUCUGCUUUCAAAGAUAUAAUGACAUGUUUUCGCCUUAUCUAUCCUUAAAACAUUAAAUCUUUUAUAUGAAUUGGUUGACAAUUUUUGAAGGAUAACCUUUUCAACAUCAUAAAAUAAAUGGAAGUGGUGAAGGAUUUAGAUUCAAAAUGCUUCACCAGUGCACUAAUAAUUUGAUGAGCACUGCUAUCAUUUUUCUAAAAUGGCAUUAGAUUAAAUCUUAUUCAUCCAGCAAAUUCUUUUGAAGAGUCUCACCUUUAGAAGCUGAUGACACAAACCAGCUUGAAAAUGUGAUUGUGGUAUUUGAAAUGCCCCGUCCCUAGAGUAAUUUUAUUUAUGAUUUAUGAAGAAUAUUUUGUGUGUUUCUUUACAAGUUUUGUUACCUUAGCAUCAAUAUUUUAAAGCUAAAGUUACAAGGACAUACAUAGUUACUGCUCCAUAGUAAGAUCUUGUUUCUGGUAACUUUACACAUUUUUCUCCAGGCAUUCAUGUCAGCAGCACACAACCAUGAUGUGAAAGGAAAUUGCUUCCAACGCCUCUAAAAUUGCUUGCUUGGCUUGAAUUAAUCUUAAUCGAAUUUCUGUCUGAGAUGUUUAAAAGCUUACAGAAUCUCAUCCUUUGAGCACAGCUUUGCUAAUUUGAUUCUGCAUUCCAAAGUGACAAGAAAUUUUGAGACCUGCAGGGCUGCUGUUGCAGAUAAUGUUUCUAUGCAGGUGGCAUGAACCACACUGUUCAUUAAUGUGACAUACCUUUAUAAUGAAUGUCCUCAAAUAAUAAUAGGGGAAACAAUGAACUUGAAUCCCUAUUUAACUGUGUUGUUCCCCUGUCUAAAAUACCAAAUGUACAUUCAGCCUUAAGAAAGAAAAUCGAAGAAAAAUGUUGUGUAUUAUUUUUCAGAUACUUAAAUUGGAAAGAAAGACAAAUUAUUAACCUUAAAAAUGUGAUUAUUUUCUAAAUCCAAACCCUCAAAUAUUACCGCAGUAGAGAAAAAACAGAAGGGCAAAGAUGUAGCCAAAAUUUCCUAAAGAUCACCUGCUGACAUCAUUAGAGUCAGUCUACAGUAGAGUAAUUCUAGAGUUUCUAGUCCUCCUGGCCACAAUGUGACUGCUACCUUUAAACUUAUUUGUAAAUGAGAAGGAUGAGUCAAAUGAUCACAUUGAAGUACAAUGGUCACUUCAAUUUUAUGGAUUGCUCUGAAUGCCAGAGUGGGUGGAUGACUCCAAGACCAGAGUACAAAAUAAAUCUUCUCUUGGAGUCCCUGCUUCAUUUCAGGUUGCCUUUUGCUCAGUGUAGUGGGGGUUCCAGGCUGGUCUAGUCUCUUCUCUGAAGGAAAUAGAGUACCAUUUUUUGAGCUGUUAUCUUGUGAUGCCUGUAGUAGCACUUUUGGUCUAAGUGAUUGACUCAGGAACAGGAGCUGUGCAAAAUUCUGAGCUGUGAACCAGCUGAGGCUAUGUGGUUCUUCGUCUGCUUGUGCUCCUCAAGCACCAGCCACUGCUGCCUCCGUGCAGGCAAUGACAGCAGGCAGCGAGCAUCACCCGGGGGACUGGCAGGACACUUCCAUUCCAGCUGCUAUGAGAUAAGCCAUCCAUGUUCUUCCAGUAGCUGCAUUUCACUGCACUUUUCUCUGCAUGGUCUCAGCCUUCUGC